UACGUAGGGUGCGAGCGUUGUCCGGAAUUAUUGGGCGUAAAGAGCUCGUAGGCGGUCUGUCGCGUCUGCCGUGAAAACCCGAGGCUUAACCUCGGGCUGGCGGUGGAUACGGGCAGACUAGAGGUAGGUAGGGGAGAAUGGAAUUCCAGGUGUAGCGGUGAAAUGCGUGAGAUAUCUGGAGGAAUACCGGUGGCGAAGGCGGCAUCCUGGACCGGCAUUGACGCUGAUGAGCGAAAGCUAGGGGAGCAAACGGG
rnacentral:rRNA from 1 species